rnacentral:rRNA from 1 species
AUGUCUGGCAGCUUCGUGUUCCUCCCCAGCCAGGCGGUGGCGAACAUGAUGCGGCGAUGGAACUACAGGGAAGGCUCAGGUCUCGGCAUGCAGGGGCAAGGGAUCGUCGUACCUAUACAAGUCGUCGUGCGGGUGCGGCGGCAUCCAAAGGUCGGCCUUGGCUACCGUGAGAAACCAUACCACAAUGGUCUCCACGUGCCGUCGGAGCCGCCCGUGGAGGAGGAAUGCCGUGAGUGGGAGGAUAUUGGACAGGCUAUGCGGCUCGAAACGGACUGCUGCGAGCCGAUCCUCGCGCUCCUGCUUGACAUGAGGCUUCAAGGGACAACAGCGUGGAGACGGCGGAUGCGCUGA